rnacentral:rRNA from 1 species
AGCAGCCGCGGUAAUUCCAGCUCCAAUAGCGUAUAUUAAAGUUGCUGCAGUUAAAAAGCUCGUAGUUGAAUUUCGGGACUAAUAUGUCGGUCGUGCCUCGGUACGUACUGGCUUAUUGGUUUCUCCUUUCUGAAGAACCAUGAUGUCAUUUAUUUGGUGUCGUGGGAAAUCAGGACUGUUACUUUGAAAAAAUUAGAGUGUUUAAAGCAGGCUCACGCUUGAAUACAUUAGCAUGGAAUAAUGAAAUAGGACGUUUGAUUCUAUUUUGUUGGUUUCUAGGAUCGACGUAAUGAUUAAUAGGGAUAGUUGGGGGCAUUAGUAUUCAAUUGUCAGAGGUGAAAUUCUUGGAUUUAUUGAAGACUAACUACUGCGAAAGCAUUUGCCAAGGAUGUUUUCAUUAAUCAAGAACGAAAGUUAGGGGAUCGAAGACGAUCAGAUACCGUCGUAGUCUUAACCAUAAACUAUGCCGACUAGGGAUCGGAUGAUGUUAAUUUUUUAAUGACUCAUUCGGCGCCUUACG